rnacentral:rRNA from 1 species
AUACGUAGGUCACAAGCGUUAUCCGGAUUUACUGGGCGUAAAGGGCGUGUAGGCGGUCUUGCAAGUCAGAAGUGAAAUUCCUGAGCUCAACUCGGGCGCUGCUUCUGAAACUGCAGGACUUGAGUGCUGGAGGGGAUAGCGGAAUUCCUAGGGGAGCGGUAAAAUGCGCAGAUAUUAGGAAGAACACCGGUGGCGAAGGCGGCUAUCUGGACAGUAACUGACGCUGAGGCUCGAAAGCGUGGGGAGCAAACAGGAUUAGAUACCCUGGUAGUCCACGCUGUAAACGAUGAUUACUAGGUGUGGGGGGACUGACCCCUUCCGUGCCGCAGUUAACACAAUAAGUAAUCCACCUGGGGAGUACGGCCGCAAGGGUGAAACUCAAAUGAAUUGGCGGGGG